AUUCCAGCUCCAAUAGCGUAUAUUAAAGUUGCUGCAGUUAAAAAGCUCGUAGUUGGAUUUGUGGAACGGCCGUCCGGCGGGGGCUCUUUACUGAGCCCGUUUGUCCUGGUUUUCGGCCGCUCCUUUCUCGGGUAGCGUGUGGCUGGCAUUAGGUUGUUGGCCGCUUCGCGCCCGUCUUUUACUGUGAAAAAAUUAGAGUGUUCAAAGCAGGCUUAGGCCGUUGGAUACAUUAGCAUGGAAUAAUAAGAUAGGGCCACGACGGUCUAUUUUGUUGGUUUGCACGUUGUGGUAAUGGUUAACAGGAAUAGUUGGGGGUAUUCGUAUUCAAUUGUCAGAGGUGAAAUUCUUGGAUUUGUGGAAGACGAACUACUGCGAAAGCAUUUACCAAGGAUGUUUUCAUCG
rnacentral:rRNA from 1 species